rnacentral:rRNA from 1 species
UGGGAAUCUUCCGCAAUGGACGAAAGUCUGACGGAGCAACGCCGCGUGUAUGAUGAAGGUCUUCGGAUUGUAAAGUACUGUCAUUGGGGAAGAACGGUUUUCUUGAAAAGAUUGAGAAGACAUGACGGUACCCAAGGAGGAAGCCCCGGCUAACUACGUGCCAGCAGCCGCGGUAAUACGUAGGGGGCAAGCGUUGUCCGGAAUUAUUGGGCGUAAAGGGCGCGUAGGCGGGCCUUUAAGUCCGGUGUGAAAGAUCAGGGCUCAACCCUGAGAGUGCAUCGGAAACUGGAGGCCUUGAGGACAGGAGAGGAAAGUGGAAUUCCACGUGUAGCGGUGAAAUGCGUAGAUAUGUGGAGGAACACCAGUGGCGAAGGCGACUUUCUGGACUGUAACUGACGCUGAGGCGCGAAAGCGUGGGGAGCAAAACAGGAUUAGAUACCCUGGUAGUCCACGCCGUAAACGAUGAGUGCUAGGUGUAGAGGGUAUCGACCCCCUUCUGUGCCGCAGUU